AAAGCAGCAAUGGCUGAAAAUUGUGAAUUAUGAUAACUGUAAUUUGCUACCAUCUACUAUAGGACUUCACGUCUUCAAAAACAGCAGUGAGGCUUUUCUGGAGAAUAUUGGCACUUAGCCCUACAUAAUGUUUAAAAGUAAGCGUCGCUCUAAUGACCUAAAAUUUGCGAUGGACAUUCUUUCUUUGGCCCUCGGAACUAUCCGAGUCUGCUUAUCGAGAAGACUUUGAAGAGGCCAUUAUCUGGUUGAAAUUCGCCCAUUCAUUUGGACAACAAGAUAAGGAACGACAAAUUAAAGUACGGACGAUGCCAUCACAUUACUGGCAGCUUGUUACAUGCAUCUUAACUAAUUGAUUGUGGUAACUGCUCCAUGGUUAAAACCAUUGAUUUACGCGAGAAUUGCCCUAGGAGUUUGCUCAACCAUCAGCUCUUGCAUUUAAAUGCUGCGUUCAUGAAGUGAUUGCCUUCCCAGAAUGUGUUGCCAAGUCUUUUGAAAAUUGCAUUAUGGUUCUGGAGUCUAAUUGUAAAGUGCUUCCGUAGUCGAUGGAGACCUUCACGUCCAACUCUAUUCUUCUGUAGCUAUCGAUCUUUAUGAUCAGCUUCUUCCAAAGGAUAAGUGAAGGCUUUUUCCUGGAGCGGUUUCGAGAAUUAUUGGACCCUGCUGUUGAAGAAGUGGCCUCAAUAACUGGUGGUUAUCCGACUAUCUCUUUCAGUUGCGUGAUUUUGAGUCAGCAUUUGAAGAGGCUUCUUUGGCACAAGCCGAUGAGAAAACAGACGAGUAUACGUUGAAAAUUCAAUUGAAGAAGGGACUUGCAAACUUCUUGACGAAGAAAAAGAGCCCCCAGAAGAGUCCCUCAACUAGGCUGAAGGUUUGAAUGUUUGAACGUUGAGGCAUCAGAAGCAUUUCUGAACAAAAUGGAAAACACCGAAGAUGUAUGUCAUACCAAUUUUCCAUACACACCGCCAGGAACAAGAUUAUUAUCGACUCCAUUUACCGCUAGAAAUGAGCAUUCCACUUAUCCCCUUCAAAAUAAUUCACAAGCUAUUACUAGUUUGAAAGUCCAAUGUUUGGUCAGCGCAGAAGGAUGCAAUUUCGUGGCGACUUCAGUUAUUGCAAAUUCAAGUCGUCCAAACCGAAAAACUACCCCUUUCACAAAUCAUAGCCAGUCUCCAUAUUUGGACUCUGGAAACACCUCCCUCUCACACAGUCUUUUGGAAUGGCGAAAACAACAGUAAGCAGAUUGGAAAAAUUUACGUUAAAGCAGUCGCGAUUGGCCCAAAACAUUUAAUUCCCAAAUAUAUUCUUCCUUCAACAUUGGAAGUGAUUGGUCGAAUCAAACAUGAAAUGAUGUGGGAUUACAUCAAACAGACAAAACGAGCAGGAACCCGAGACAUUGUUAUUAUCUCAUUUUUUCCAACUUCCGAGUCGUCCCGUCAAGAUUAUUCUUUGUUUAUCCAUCACAUGGAGCAAAACGAGCGGUUCGCUGUCGUUGGACCAGUCUCCAAACUCAUCAAAGACUUCUAUCUUGUUCCAUUACUCAGGGACAGGUCAAUUCCAGCGGCCCUUAUUUCGCUUUCAAAAGGCAUUGAUUGGUUUCAGAACAGGAAUCACAGUCUAUUGCUAGGUAUUAUGAUACCAAGUAGGAAGCAAGAGGCUGUCCAGGACUGUUCUUCCGUUUUGCCUUGAGCCCUUGAAUUGAAAUGCGAUAAAAUAUCAAUAAUUUUACAACUCAUCAGUCUUAAGCUUACCUAGUUUUAAAGCAUUGUUUCCAACUCGCUUGUUUAUUUGUACAGCGUGCGAAAAUAGCCUCCUCUUCUACUCCAAAAGUAGCAAAUAUUUUUAAUAGUUCAAAUUGGCACGCAGUGAAUUUACUUCGAAAAUCUAUGCGAAGCUUUAAGCUUAUAUAAAUGUGGCCUGCCUGUAAUUUUAAUAGAAAAUCGUCUAUCCGGUACACACACAAAAAAUAACUUUUGUUUUGGUCAUUCGACAAAACAAAUAAUGGAGAAUUUCAUCUUAUUGCCUCUCCACGAUUACUUUUUGGUUUAGUUCAUAUUUCGUGUUCGUAU